CCUACGGGUGGCAGCAGUGGGGAAUAUUGCACAAUGGGGGGAACCCUGAUGCAGCGACGCCGCGUGAGUGAAGAAGUAUUUCGGUAUGUAAAGCUCUAUCAGCAGGGAAGAACAUGACGGUACCUGACUAAGAAGCCCCGGCUAACUACGUGCCAGCAGCCGCGGUCAUACGUAGGGGGCAAGCGUUAUCCGGAUUUACUGGGUGUAACGGGAGCGCAGACGGCUGUGCAAGUCUGGAGUGAAAGGCGGGGGCCCAACCCCCGGACGGCUCUGGAAACUGUAAAGCUGGAGUGCAGGAGAGGUAAGCGGAAUUCCUAGUGUAGCGGUGAAAUGCGUAGAUAUUAGGAGGAACACCAGUGGCGAAGGCGGCUUACUGGACUGCAACUGACGUUGAGGCUCGAAAGCGUGGGGAGCAAACAGGAUUAGAUACCCCAGUAGUC
rnacentral:rRNA from 1 species